ensembl:lncRNA
AUCAAUCUGUUCAUUUUCUUGUCUAGGGCAGAUUAAGGUGGUGACUUUGUAUUUAAAAGUACCCCUUACUCAUAUACAAUUUUGGGUUAUGAAAAAGCAGUUACUUUUCUUACAAAUGAAUGUAGUUCUUUUUUAGAGGAAGUAUUUGCAGAGAUCACCUUAAGCUGUUGUAAAUUCUUGCUGCCCCAUUUUUGUGAAUGGGAAUAUGUCUAUUGUAACAGCUAAGGAUUUGCUCAUAAUGCAUGAACCCAUUGUUGGAUAGUGGCCAGGUCAACAGGGGAGCAAAGAAUUCAAAGGCAUCGCUGUAGCCAGCAAGAUCUAAACCUCAAUCAUGUCAUUGAUCCACCCUCAAAUGCCCUUUCCUGCGAGUUCCUCAAGGUCUCUUAAUUUUCUUAACUUCAGAGUCUAGUAUGGAGUCUACAUCUCUGCUUGCUAUGUUCU